GGAAUUGGAAUGAUCUAAGCAUGCGAGUCAUUGUAGUAAUACAAGGCAGACGGCUCAGUAACGCGUAGUCAACCUACCCUAAGGACGGGGAUAACCUCGGGAAACUGAGAAUAAUACCCGAUAGAACAUAGCUCCUGUAAUGGUUUAUGUUUCAAAUAAUUUAUUGCCCUAGGAUGGGACUGCGGCCUAUCAGUUUGUUGGUGAGGUAAUGGCCCACCAAGACUAUUACAGGUACGGGCUCUGAGAGGAGUGGCCCGGAGAUGGGUACUGAGACACGGACCCAGGCCCUAUGGGGCGCAGCAGGCGAGAAAACUUUGCAAUGUGCGAAAGCACGACAAGGUUAAUCCGAGUGGUUUCUGCUAAAGGAACCUUUUGUCAGUCCUAGAAACACUGAUGAAUAAGGGGUGGGCAAGUUCUGGUGUCAGCCGCCGCGGUAAAACCAGCACCUCAAGUGGUCAGGAUGAUUAUUGGGCCUAAAGCAUCCGUAGCCGGCUUUGUAAGUUUUCGGUUAAAUCCAUGCGCUCAACGUAUGGGCUGCCGGGAAUACUGCAAAGCUAGGGAGUGGGAGAGGUAGACGGUACUCGGUAGGAAGGGGUAAAAUCCUUUGAUCUAUUGAUGACCACCUGUGGCGAAGGCGGUCUACCAGAACACGUCCGACGGUGAGGGAUGAAAGCUGGGGGAGCAAACCGGAUUAGAUACCCGGGUAGUCCCAGCUGUAAACUAUGCAAACUCAGUGAUGCAUUGGCUUGAUGCCAAUGCAGUGCUGCAGGGAAGCCGUUAAGUUUGCCGCCUGGGAAGUACGUACGCAAGUAUGAAACUUAAAGGAAUUGGCGGGGGAGCACCACAAGGGGUGAAGCCUGCGGUUCAAUUGGAUUCAACGCCGGG
rnacentral:rRNA from 1 species